CCCUUAGAUGUCCUGGGCUGCACGCGCGCUACACUGAUGUGUCCAGUAAGCACCUAACCUCUUCCGAAAGGAACGGGUAACCUUUGCAAAGCACAUCGUGAUGGGGAUAGAUUAUUGCAAUUAUUAGUCUUGAACGAGGAAUUCCUAGUAAGCACAGGUCAUCAGCUUGUGUUGAUUACGUCCCUGCCCUUUGUACACACCGCCCGUCGCUCCUACCGAUUGAAUGUUCCGGUGAGCUCUUCGGACUGCGCGGUCUGCAGUUUCUGCGUUCCGUGCGGAAAGUUGCGCAAACCUUAACAUUUAGAGGAAGGAGAAGUCGUAACA
rnacentral:rRNA from 1 species